GACGAACGCUGGCGGCGUGCUUAACACAUGCAAGUCGAACGAAGUGGCGAACGGGUGAGUAACGCGUAAACAACCUGCCCUUCAGCGGGUGACAACAGUUGGAAACGACUGCUAAUACCGCAUACUGAAGGAGGGGCUUGCGGCUGAUUCGCUAGUUGGCUGGGGAACGGCCCACCAAGGCGAUGAUCAGUAGCCGGUCUGAGAGGAGGAACGGCCACAAUGGGACUGAGACACGGCCCAGACUCCUACGGGAGGCAGCAGUGGGGAAUCGUCCGCAAUGGACGAAAGUCUGACGGAGCAACGCCGCGGGAGUGAUGACGGCCUUCGGGUUGUAAAGAUCUGUUAAUCGGGACGCGGUACCGGAAUAGAAAGCCACGGCUAACUACGUGCCAGCAGCCGCGGUAAUUC
rnacentral:rRNA from 1 species